rnacentral:rRNA from 1 species
CAAUAGCGUAUAUUAAAGUUGUUGCAGUUAAAAAGCUCGUAGUUGGAUUUCUGGCCGAGUGUCCCUAGGCCAGCAUGACGUUUGGUCCUAGGCGCUCUGCCAUCCUUCUGUCAACCUUCGCCUUCUUCAUUGGGGGCGCUGGGGCUCAGAUAUUUUACCUUGAAAAAAUUAGAGUGUUCAAAGCAGGCUUUUGCUGUGAAUACAUUAGCAUGGAAUAAUAAUCUAGGACUUCGGUUUUAUUUUGUUGGUUUCUUAACACUGAAGUAAUGAUUGAUAGGGAUAGUUGGGGGUGGCUAGUAUUGGCCGGCCAGAGGUGAAAUUCUUGGAUUCGGUCAAGACUAACUUAUGCGAAAGCAUUCACCAAGGAUGUCUUCUUUAAUUCAAGAACGAAAGUU